rnacentral:rRNA from 1 species
UACGUAGGGUGCAAGCGUUAUCCGGAUUUAUUGGGCGUAAAGCGAACGUAGGCGGUUUGUUAAGUUUGGUUUUAAAGCCUAGGGCUCAACCCUAGAGAUGGACUGAAAACUGGCAGACUUGAGUGGUUCAGAGGAAAGUGGAAUUCCAAGUGUAGCGGUGAAAUGCGUAGAGAUUUGGAGGAACACCAGCGGCGAAAGCGGCUUUCUGGGGACUAACUGACGCUGAGGUUCGAAAGCUUGGGGAGCAAACAGG